AACCUCAACUUUGGCCAGAUCCAU
rnacentral:siRNA from 1 species